UACAGAGGGGGCAAGCGUUGUUCGGAAUUACUGGGCGUAAAGCGUGCGCAGGCGGUUUUGUAAGCCAGAUGUGAAAUCCCCGGGCUUAACCUGGGAAUGGCAUUUGGGACUGCAAGGCUUGAGUGCGGCAGAGGAGACUGGAAUUCCUGGUGUAGCAGUGAAAUGCGUAGAUAUCAGGAGGAACACCGAUGGCGAAGGCAGGUCUCUGGGCUGACACUGACGCUCAUGCACGA
rnacentral:rRNA from 1 species